GAGAGGGAGAGUGCGGCCGACGGCAGUAUCUAUUUACUGCUGAGGAAAGUCCCCACUCCGACCGGAAAUGAUGCUGCAUGCAAGUGCAGGUGGCGAGAGUCAUGGCUCUGGCACAGAAACGACACGGCCCUCUGCUUAGCUGAUGAGGCAGAAACAAACUGCCGAGGCAUUUUGAGGCAAAGGGAGACGAUGGAACGGUGAAUCCCUUCAGGAGCAAGCCGAACAGGAGCAUAACGGUAUUUUCGGACCGGUUCCGGGUACGGCGCACAGCUGAAUGCCGCAGAAACAUAAUGGGGCUUACUCCUCCCACUC
rnacentral:RNase_P_RNA from 2 species